GAUGAACGCUGGCGGCAUGCCUAACACAUGCAAGUCGAACGGGAAGUCGUGUUUCCCGUGCCGGACGGGUGAGUAACGCGUAAGAACCUGCCCUUUGGAUGGGAACCACAGCUGGCAACGGCUACUAAUACCCCGUAGGCUGAGGAGCAAAAGGAGGAAUCCGCCCGAGGAGGCGCUUGCGCAUGAAUAGCUAGUUGGUGAUGCAAUAGCUUACCAAGGAGACGAUCAGUCGCUGUUCCGAGAGGAAGAGCCGCCACACUGGGACUGAGACACGACCCGGACUCCUACGGGAGGCAGGAGCGAGGAAUUUUCCGCAAUAGGCGGAGGGCUGACGGAGCAAUGCCGCGGGGAAGUAGAAGGGUCACGGGUCAAAAACUGCUUGUCCCGAAGAAGAAGCAAUGACGGUAUCUGGAGAAUAAGCAUCGGCUAACUCUGUG
rnacentral:rRNA from 1 species